UGCAGACAUCCUGAUAGAAAAAAUGUAUAGAUUGAACACAUUUUAAGCAUUACAUUACAUUAUGCAUUUGCCAGAUGCUUUUAUCCAAAGCAACUUAUAGUGCAUUACAAGGUUUACAUUUUUUAUCAGUAUGUGUGUUCCCUAAGUUUGAACCUAUGAGCUAAUGCAUUGCUGACACAAUGCUCUACCAGCUCAGCUAUACAGGAGCGCCUGCAUUAGAAUAAUUUAAAGAAAAUCGUAAUUUGAAAAAAAUGCGAAGUUCGUCACAACAUGUAUGUAGCCCGUCAUGUGUGUGGUUAGCAUUUCAAAAUAUGUGUUUGGCGCAUCUAAAUAUCGUGUGUGCAUCACGUGUCUUGUCAAAAUAAGUUCCUGCUGCAGACGCGUCUAAAGGGUUUAUGAUAAAAGAGACGCUCGCGUUUGCCAGAUACUCGCAUAAUCUCAUGCAUAAUCAGAGUUUACUGUAAAGAGUCUCUUGCGUGUAUUUUGUGAACGUGAGCGUCUCUUUUAUCAUAAAUGGUUUUGACGCCUGUGCAUUGUUAGCACCAUGUUUUAAAAGUUGAUCUAUACAGGUACACUAGACAAUAUUUGACCAAAUACAUGUUUAUGACAUAAAAUCAGAAAACAAAAGGCUUGAACAGUGGAGCAAAUAUCCAAUGUCAAGCAAAAUCAGAAAUAAAGUCCACCUCUUAAGAAAAAUGGUUCUUCAAAGAUUCUUAAAUGAUGAUAAUGGUUCUAUAUAGAACCAUAGCUUAAUGAAGAACCCUUUUUUGCUGAAAUGGUUCUUUGUCUUAGCAAAAGUUUUUUUUAAAUCCUGCCUUUUUUAUUUUAAAUUUAGUCUGUUAAUUUCAAGCUGCCUACUAAUUAGUUUCACCUGAAUCAUCAGUCCUGCUGAACCGUCUGCAGACUAACACCACAAACAGGUGAGAGAGUAAAAUAAUCAUCAUUUACUGUUAAAAACAUUUUGAAAAUAGAAGUUUUGUGUGUUCUAAUAGACCCCUUCAAGGUUUGUAAACAUUGAAUGACUAUCGAGUGCGCGUGCAGCAUGGGGUCAAACUGUUCAUACCAUUUAGGCUUUCUAGUUUAAUCUAACAGGGCUAAAAAAUGAUGACUUACCUGAAAUGAAGUGAGCACUACAAACACAAGCCUCUUUGAUCUUUGCAUUGUCCCAGUCUGCACGUUUAAUUGCUUGCAGCCACAGAUGUUGUAUUUUUUGAGAUUCUGCAGGAAUCCCGAAAAACUUAACGGCAGACCUGGUGCGAUUUUCAAAGCCCACGACACAAGUAGGCAUUUUUGACGAUACCGAAUAAUACGCAACUCAAUCUGCUGUAAUGACUUUUCUGACCCCGACAUGCGCAGUGGGAACCGCCUGUGACGUGAACUGUGAAGGGGUCUAUUGAACUUUAUUUCUUUUAUAACAGGUAAGCUACAUACUAUAAACUUCAUUCCCUUUACAACAGGUAAGCUUCAUACUGUUUUAAAUUAUAUAUUUAGGGAACUCUGCUUUAAGACUUAGGAUUUGUUAUGUGUUAAAAAGCAUAUACAUGUAUAUUAAACAUUAAGUUUAUUAAACUUAAUAUCAAAAGAAUGUGGUACAACAUGUGUUUAGUUUUUUUUAUUUAUAUUUCAGAGUUUUUGUAUGUGAGGUAAUCUUUCUAAUGCUGGGAGUGAAGGCAGUGCGUAUGACCGCUUGAUAUGAGAGACACAUCCUGUUUUUAAAGGUGAAUCGUGAGUGAAGCUCUAAAAAGUUGGAUAGCUGCAGGUCGGCCAUUGGGUUGAUAACAGUGGUUUAUGUGAAUUCAGUGAGACAAUCACGGGUAAGAGAGACAAUCACAGGUAAGCAUUCACCUAAUUUACUAACAAAACAGGUAUCUUGACCAGAAUCAUAUUAAAACUUCUGUCACAUUAUGUUUUACAUUCAGUAUGCAAGCAAACUCCAGGCUUAUAUUAACUUGUUCUGUCUCCAUGUCUUAUCAUUUCACCCAUGACCGACAGACCCAAAUCUUGUUUGGCCUGAUGCUCAACCUUGUACAGUCCACCAAAUGAUGACCACUGCAAGGUGAUGGGAAUCUGUGGUAAUUACAGCCUGUGUCUUAAGACCAACAUGACAAUAGCAGACCAUCUCUUAUCUUACUCUUAUCUGACUAAAUUUUCAACAUCACUGCAACAAAACAAAAAAAUUGGAUGAGUAUGUACUUUACAAUGAUCCAGCAAACAAAAUAUGGACUUUUUUUGCUAGCUUCUACAAGCAUUGACACAAUCCUAUUGACUUUUAUUUUUACAGUUAGUAAUGUUUUAUUAACAUCCCAUUCAUUUGUAUUCUAUGCUGUCUAUCUGUUUGUGCUAAAAUGUAUACAUCUGUAAUGUCAUAAUACGUUAAUAUUCAGUAUUUAUUAUCAUUUACAUAUUUUGAUGUGGCAUAUGUCAUGAUUUUAUUGAUUUCAUGUAAUUGUUCUAUUAUAAUGAUUGUCUUUGCCAAAUGUAAUUGUUAAUUUAUUAAAUAUUGAUGCACUUAUUUAAAUAUCCAUAUCUAAUAAAUACAUAUCUCAUUUGAGCAGUGAUUUGUUAUAUUUGCAUAAUAAGCCAUAUAUUUAUGUAUAUUUUUUAAAUAUGAUUUUAUACACAUAUUUACUAUUGUAUGACACCUAAUGUAAUGAAAAAAUGAAAAUAAAAAUCUUUUUCUGAUGUCUUGCUGUUCUGUUUUUAAACUGUUAAACCUUAUAAAGUGCAGAGAAUGAAAAAAGUGGAUAAAUAACAAAAAUAACCCUCCUGACAGCUGAUACAUUAAUGGUUCUUUAUAGCACCACUGAGGUUCUACAUGGCACUUUUCAAGGCAAGGUUCUAUAU